rnacentral:rRNA from 1 species
UGCAGUCGAACGAUGAACCACUUCGGUGGGGAUUAGUGGCGAACGGGUGAGUAACACGUGGGCAAUCUGCCCUGCACUCUGGGACAAGCCCUGGAAACGGGGUCUAAUACCGGAUACUGACCCUCGCAGGCAUCUGCGAGGUUCGAAAGCUCCGGCGGUGCAGGAUGAGCCCGCGGCCUAUCAGCUUGUUGGUGAGGUAAUGGCUCACCAAGGCGACGACGGGUAGCCGGCCUGAGAGGGCGACCGGCCACACUGGGACUGAGACACGGCCCAGACUCCUACGGGAGGCAGCAGUGGGGAAUAUUGCACAAUGGGCGAAAGCCUGAUGCAGCGACGCCGCGUGAGGGAUGACGGCCUUCGGGUUGUAAACCUCUUUCAGCAGGGAAGAAGCGAAAGUGACGGUACCUGCAGAAGAAGCGCCGGCUAACUACGUGCCAGCAGCCGCGGUAAUACGUAGGGGCGCAAGCGUUGUCCGGAAUUAUUUGGGGCGUAAAGAGCUCGUAGGCGGGCUUGUUCGCGUC